GCCCAGUUAGCUCAGUUGGUAGAGCACUUCCAUGGUAAGGAAGGGGUCGCCGGUUCGAGUCCGGCACUGGGCU
rnacentral:tRNA from 1 species